rnacentral:rRNA from 1 species
CGGUUGAUCCUGCCGGAGGCUACUGCUAUCAGAGUUCGAUUAAGCCAUGUUAGUCGAGGGGUGGUCAUCGGAUGCUUGCAUCUGAUGGCCAAACCGGCGGACGGCUCAGUAACACGUGGACAACCUACCCUUGGGUCCGGGAUAACCCCGGGAAACUGGGGCUAAUACCGGAUGGGACAUCGCUUGCUGGAAUGCAGGAUGUCCGAAAGCUGAGGCGCCCAAGGAUGGGUCUGCGGCCGAUUAGGUAGUUGUUGAUGUAACGGAUCAACAAGCCUACGAUCGGUACGGGUUGUGAGAGCAAUAGCCCGGAGAUGGGUUCUGAGAAAAGAACCCAGGUCCUACGGGACGCAUCAGGCGCGAAAACUUUACAAUGUGCGAAAGCAUGAUAAGGGAACUCUGAGUGCCUCCUAAGGAGGCUGUUCAGGUGCCUAAAAAGCACCUGGAGUAAGGGCUGGGUAAGACCGGUGCCAGCCGCCGCGGUAACACCGGCAGCCCAAGUGGUAGCCACUUUUAUUGGGUCUAAAGCGUCCGUAGCCGGUUGAGUAAGUUCCUUGGGAAAUUUGGCUGCUUAACAGUCAAGCUUCCAGGGAAUACUGCUCGACUUGGGACUGGGAGAGGUCAGAGGUACUCCAGGGGUAGGGGUGAAAU